rnacentral:rRNA from 1 species
AUUGAACGCUAGCGGCAGGCCUUACACAUGCAAGUCGAACGAGUGGCGGACGGGUGAGUAAUGUCUGGGAAACUGCCUGAUGGAGGGGGAUAACUACUGGAAACGGUAGCUAAUACCGCAUACCAUCGGAUCUGCCCAGAUGGGAUUAGCUAGUAGGUGGGGUAAAGGCUCACCUAGGCAACGAUCCCUAGCUGGUUUGAGAGGAUGACCAGCCACACUGGAACUGAGACACGGCCCAGACUCCUACGGGAGGCAGCAGUGGGGAAUAUUGGACAAUGGGCGCAAGCCUGAUGCAGCCAUGCCGCGUGUAUGAAGAAGGCCUUCGGGUUGUAAAGUACUUUCGGCAGGGAGGCGUUACCCGCAGAAGAAGCACCGGCUAACUCCGUGCCAGCAGCCGCGGUAAUAC